ensembl:lncRNA
CAGGCUGGCCCCAGAAGAGGUCUUGAAUGAGCCCAUUAUCUGUGGCUAGACAGCCAGACUCUCCUUGGCCUAAAGUCAGAUUCCCAGCCUCUCAUUUCCUCCUUUUGCUGCCCUGAAAAGGGUCAAGGUUCUCCCCGUUUCCUUCACCGUCCAGCACCUGUCACAUGCAGCAGAAACCUGGUGCCAGGGCUGCCCCAGGAAAGCCACUGAGAGGGACCCUGGACUGGGGGCUUGUUCCCUGUCUCUUCUGACACCUUGGGCCCUCAGUGGGGACAAAGCCUGACAAGUGAGCAGACUGAAUCUCAUUCCUUUGAAAUGUUCGAGUAAACACAUAUGAGCUAAGAAGGGCUGGCCAGGGCCGGAGACAAAUAACUUUCACUCAGCAAAGGAAGCUUCAUUUAAAAAAAAAGAAGAAGAAGAAGAAGAAAUUAAGAAAACCCCAACAAAGCCACACCGUGGCCCUGUCUGUCUGGGAACUGCUGAUGCAGCUCGCCGGGGCUGGACAGAGUGUUCUGAUCAGAGCAUGAUCUGGUGUGACCUGGACGAUCAAUUUUGUUCCCAGCAUGAAAAAAAAAGAGGCUCGGUACCUUGGUUAUUAAAGAAUGAAAGGGAGAAAGAUCCAGAAACUCUAACCCAUCUACCUGGCUUUGAGGAAGAAAUUAUUUCAGUUGGUCACUAUGAAGAUGCUUCAACAGAUACAUGAUAAUACAGCAGGUAAGUCUACAAAGGAAACAUCAUGAAGAUAUUGAACAUCUGUACUGUUUUACACCAAGAGGGCUAGUAUGAUUUGCCCUCCUAGUGAGUCUGGCAGAGAACAGCUCAUUUUUGCUUGGAAAAUAAUUCCUUACUCUUCUGGAAGUCUGGGCUCGAUUGCAUUGUGACCAGGCUUCCCAGCCAAUUGGACAUCCUGCACCAUGUUUCUCUUGAACUAGCUGCAAUGACCCGAUCACAUUAAAAUCAUUGAUCGUAUUCUGUUAAAGGCUAGAAGAGAUCCCUGAAUGUAAUUCUCUCAUCUGCCUUUAAUAGAGGACCUCAUCUUGAGCAGUCGUACAUUUUGAAUCGCACAUCAACAGAAUAUUCUUGGUUUCCAGGCCACCCUGCUUUUUGAGGUGUGCUGGCUCAUGCGAGGUGACAUAAGUGGCAGUCAAGCGAAGCACCAAGCACUUGACAAGUUAAGUUCCUUAAAAUCUUCUGCAGGAUCACUGAACAUGGUAAUCUCUGUAGGAUGUGCAACGGUGAAGUUCAGAGGAUAAAAGACAAAUACCAUCGAUUUGCCUGUCUUUGACGUGUCCUGCUGCCAUGACUGCUAAGGCUUUGAAGUUAGGGAAUGAGCACCCGAUCCUGACAUUUCCUGCCAACAUGCUGAUAUCAACUACUUUGCAUCUCUGUUGGGUCAUGCUGUAAGAUGUCAUUGCUGAUCAAAGGAGGACGAGGUGAGGGAAAUCACUUCCCCCAUUUCUACUAGAUUCGGAAAGAGCCGAUUCUCUCCUCAUUUUGCCAGGGAUGAAUCUCCUAGUGAGCUUGCUUAUUAUUCUCCUUAAAGCAGCCAGAGUCAUGACUGAUCCUAAUGGCUAGCUGCUCUAUAAUUCCAUCAAGUUAAUGGAGAAUUUUUUAAUUUUCUUAAAGAUAUAAAGAAAGCAUAUUUACUUUGUUCCACCCCUUUCCAUGAGUGCUAUUUUCCCUUUUCACCUAUAUAACACACCUGAUAUUAAUGCAUGAGAGAACAAAUAAUAAAAUCCCAUUAUUUUCAAUGAUAAAUUCCA